rnacentral:rRNA from 1 species
AAAGCUCGUAGUUGGAUUUCUGUGGGGGCGGAGCGGCCGGCCGCAACUUGCGGUUCGAGCUAGCGCUUCCCCUACAUCCUGCCGCGAACCGUGCUACCAUUAGUUUGGUGGCGCCGGGGAUCGGCUCGUUUACUUUGAGAAAAAUAGAGUGUUCAAAGCAGGCCACACGCCUUGAAUAAGUUAGCAUGGAAUAAUAAUAAAGGACUUCGGUUCUAUUUUGUUGGUGUUCGGGACUGAAGUAAUGAUUGAUAGGGACAGUUGGGGCGGUCAGUAUUCCAAAGCGAGAGGUGAAAUUCUUAGACCUUCGGAAGACUAACAGCUGCGAAAGCGUUCCGCAAGGAUGUUCCCUUUGAUCAAGGACGAAAGUUGGGGGAUCGAAGACGAUCAGAUACCGUCGUAGUCUCAACUAUAAACUAUACCAGCUAGGGAUCGGCCAACGUUAAAUUAUUCGACUUGGUCGGCACCUUAUGAGAAAUCAAAGCAUCUGGGUUCCGGGGGGAGUAUGGUCGCAAGGCUGAAACUUAAAGGAAUUGACGGAAGGGCACCACCAGCCGUGGAGCCUGUGGCUUAAUUUGACUCAACACGGGAAAGCUUACCAGGUCCAGACAUAGUAAGGAUUGACAGAUUGAUAGCUCUUUCUUGAUUCUGUGGGUGGUGGUGCAUGGCCGUUCUUAGUUGGUGGAGUGAUUUGUCUGGUUAAUUCCGUUAACGAACGAGACCCCAGCCUGCUAAAUAGCGCGGUUGAGCUUUGCUCGGCGCGAGCUUCUUAGAGGGACUAUGAUGCGCGAUAGCACAUGGAAGUUUGGGGCAAUAACAGGUCUGUGAUGCCCUUAGAUGUUCUGGGCCGCACACGGGCUACACUGGCGCCUGCAACGAGCAUAUCAGCUGGCCCGAGAGGGUCUUGGCUAAUCUUUUGAACCGGCGCC